CCCAAAAUGAAACCUCUUGAAAUGGUUCUUCUUAGUUAGAACCAUCUCAGACGCAUACUUACUAAGGCGCACAAACUUUGCCUCAUAGUCAUCCAUAGACAAACCACCUUGCACAAGGUCCAUAAAUUCCCGUUUACGAGCUUCCAUAUACUGCUCGCCGAUAAACUUUCUCCUAAACACAUCUAAGAAAUAAUCUUAAGUUAAACGAUCAGUGGUUGUACCUCUCCUAAUUGUAUUCCACCAAUGAUGCGCCUUUCCAUCG
rnacentral:lncRNA from 1 species